GACGUAGGGGGCAAGCGUUGUCCGGAAUCAUUGGGCGUAAAGCGCUCGUAGGUGGAUCGGUAAGUCUGCAAUGAAAGACCCGGGCUCAACUCGGGGAACGGUGUGGAUACUACCGAUCUUGAGGCAAUCAGAGGAUGAUGGGAUUCCCGGUGUAGCGGUGAAAUGCGUAGAUAUCGGGAGGAACACCAGUGGCGAAGGCGAUCAUCUGGGGUUGUUCUGACACUGAGGAGCGAAAGCUAGGGGAGCAAACGGG
rnacentral:rRNA from 1 species